rnacentral:rRNA from 1 species
CUCGUAGGCGGUUUAGUAAGUCGGGUGUGAAAACUCUGGGCUUAACCCAGAGCCGCCACUCGAUACUGCUAUGACUUGAGUUCGGUAGGGGAGCAGGGAAUUCCUAGUGUAGCGGUGAAAUGCGCAGAUAUUAGGAGGAACACCGGUGGCGAAGGCGCUGCUCUGGGCCGAAACUGACGCUGAGGAGCGAAAGCGUGGGUAGCAAACA